GGGCUUGUACUGGUUUCGACGGGGGUCAUGAAGUUUGGGAAGCCAUCCGUGGUCUGGGACCACGUAAAAACUCAGAAUUAAAUAUAAACGCUAACGACGAAAUGUUAGUUGCUGCCUAAUGGCAGCUGUCGGCCCUUUGUUUCCGCGGCUUAGGUAACCGGCAUUAUCCACGCGGAGAACCUCUUUUGUAAGCCUUGGACAAAAGAGAGAUUAAGAGGCUACUGAAAGCUCGAGCCCGUCUGUGGGCGCCUGCCGGAGGGAAUGUCAGAACGCAGACUGUGAUGGAAGAUGCCCGGAUGGAUAGGCUUUCGGACAGGGGUUCGACUCCCCUCAGGUCCACUA
rnacentral:tmRNA from 1 species